rnacentral:rRNA from 1 species
UACCAGCACCCCGAGUGGUCGGGACGAUUAUUGGGCCUAAAGCAUCCGUAGCCGGUACUGCAAGUCUUCCGUUAAAUCCACCUGCUUAACAGUUGGGCUGCGGGGGAUACUACAGCGCUAGGAGGCGGGAGAGGCAAGCGGUACUCAAUGGGUAGGGGUAAAAUCCGCUGAUCCAUUGAAGACCACCAGUGGCGAAGGCGGCUUGCCAGAACGCACUCGACGGUGAGGGAUGAAAGCUGGGGGAGCAAACCGG